rnacentral:lncRNA from 1 species
GGGAGAUGCGUUUCUCAUAUGCAGGUGAAGUUGGUAUAUUGCUGGUUAAAUGGGGAAAAUUGUUAAUUUCCCCGUUUAUUUGUUGUUUUUGAUUAUUCUUUGAUAUGAAAAAGCGUAAACUGGUGAUAGCGUUUCUUUGUUUACAUUUGAAAUGACGCCAAAACUUAAAUUCAUAAAAACAGGACCAGCGUCAGAAAUGUUUCCGUAUAUCCGUUUCUUUUUGUAACAGAC